GACGAACGCUGGCGGCGUGCUUAACACAUGCAAGUCGAACGGAAAGGCCCUGCUUUUGUGGGGUGCUCGAGUGGCGAACGGGUGAGUAACACGUGAGUAACCUGCCUUUUACUUUGGGAUAACUUCAGGAAACUGGGGCUAAUACCGGAUAGGAGCUCCUGCUGCACGGUGGGGGUUGGAAAGUUUCGGUGGUUGGGGAUUGACUCGCGGCUUAUCAGCUUGUUGGUGGGGUAGUGGCUUACCAAGGCUUUGACGGGUAGCCGGCCUGAGAGGGUGGCCGGCGACAUUGGGACUGAGAUACGGCGCAGACUCCUACGGGAGGCAGCAGUGGGGAAUAUUGCACAAUGGGCGGAAGCCUGAUGCAGCAACGCCGCGUGCGGGAUGACGGCCUUCGGGUUGUAAACCGCUUUCGCCUGUGACGAAGCGUGAGUGACGGUAAUAGGUAAAGAAGCACCGGCUAACUACGUG
rnacentral:rRNA from 1 species